rnacentral:rRNA from 1 species
GACGGGGGGAACAAGCAUUAUUCGGAAUUACUGAGCGUAAAGCGUAGGUAGGCGGCUUGGUUAGUCAGAGGUGAAAUCCCGGAGCUCAACUUCGGAACUGCCUUUGAUACUGCUGAGCUCGAGUCCGAUAGAGGUGAGUGGAAUUCCUAGUGUAGAGGUGAAAUUCGUAGAUAUUAGGAAGAACACCAGUGGCGAAGGCGGCUCACUGGAUCGGUACCGACGCUGAGCUACGAAAGCGUGGGGAGCAAACAGG